AACUCUUAGCGGUGGAUCACUCAGCUCGUGCGUCGAUGAAGAACGCAGCUAGCUGCGAGAACUAAUGUGAAUUGCAGGACACAUUGAUCAUUGACACUUUGAAUGCACCUUGCGGCCCCGGGAGGAACCCGGGGCUGCAAGGUGCGUUU
rnacentral:rRNA from 1 species